rnacentral:rRNA from 1 species
UACAGGGGGUGCAAACGUUGCUCGGAAUUAUUGGGCGUAAAGCGCGCGUAGGCGGCUACUUAAGUCGGAUGUGAAAGCCCUCGGCUUAACUGAGGAAGUGCACCCGAAACUGAGUAGCUAGAGUACGAAAGAGGGUCGCGGAAUUCCCGGUGUAGAGGUGAAAUUCGUAGAUAUCGGGAGGAACACCGGUGGCGAAGGCGGCGACCUGGGUCGAGACUGACGCUGAGGCGCGAAAGCGUGGGGAGCAAACAGG